CCUGUUUCACUUUUGCGUUGUAUUGCGAAAUUGAAGUUGUGUUCGCCUUAGCAAGUUUGCCAUUUUCACCCCCGUUGUUAGCAUAGUAAUAUCGUCCAAGUAGCACCCCUCAUUUCAUUUCGUUUUUUUGUGUGGUUUUAACCGAACACUCUGCCUAGUGCCUACCCAGAUCCGUACUGCACGUGGGCAGAAGUAUUUGUAUUUUAUACAACAGCAUUAUUGCUGUGAUUCAAGCUAUUAAAAAACAACUCGGUGCCGCAAAGUGAUAUCCAUUCAUGUGCACUAUGGAUCUGGCACCGGUUGGUGACAGUUCCGCCAAUGGUGGAGCUUCAACGGGGAACACAACAGCGCUGUUCCGUCUCCAAGUUUCCAUCCUACGCCUCUGGAGCGGCAAUUUCCUGAACCCGGGCCAGGAAAGUGUGCGCUGGCUCUGGCAGAGAGCACUGUGGGAAGGAGGAGGAUGAGGAGGGGGGGGCUAGAGCCAUGCUUUAUAUAGCCCUGCUAACGCUAACCACAAACUGAGCAUGUAAAGGAGUAGGGUUAGGGAUGGCGGGGCUGGUUGAUGAACAGAUGUGAUGAAGAGGCAUGAGUAGAAGAGAAGACCAAGAUAAUGUGUG
ensembl:lncRNA